CUAUAUCCUUGUGCUGUUGUAUAGCUUGGAGACACCAUUCUUGGCAUUCUCCGAUAAUUUCGUACUGAGGGGCCCUGGGUGGUCUUCUUCUGCUAAAACGGCGGCGGGAACUGGGGGCAGCUGUCGCGACACCAUGUAUUUCCAUUUGUGUGCUUUCGCUUAGUUCUCGUCAUAAAAUUGGAGGAGCUGGCU
ensembl:ncRNA F45E1.11 ncRNA